CCAGAGUGGAACUAUCAAAGGGGCAGUGAGGACUUGGGGAGGAGAAUUAUAAGGUCACUUGUUUGUAGGAAGGGAUGAAGAAAUGUAUGAAAAAUCCCAUUAACUAUGAAAAGGUUAAGGAUGUUUCUCAGGGCAAAGAUGAGAAUCUAGCUUUAUUGCAAAGGCAUUUAGUUGAGGCAAUGAGGAAAUAUACUAACACUGAUCCUGCUUCAAGGGAAGGACAAACCCUCUGGGAGUGCAUUUUAUAACCCAGUCUGCCCCUGAUAUCCAUAGGAAACUACGAAAAGCAGCUAUGGGUCCCCAAACUCCUAUGGACAGCUUUUGGAGAUGGCAUUUUUAGUUUUUAAUAACAGGGACAAAGCAGAGGAAGCAGAAAGAGCAAGAAGGACCUCCCACAAGGUGCAGCUCUUGGCUGCAGCCUCAAACUUACCUCGCACGUGGGACUGCCCUCCUGGAUGUUGGCCUGGACAAGGGAAGCUGAAAGAUACCACCUUUUGUCGGAACUUGGAGUUAGUAAUGACCUUCACUAUAGCAAUACUCUCGGACUGAGCUUCUCUCUACCCUGAUGCAAGACACCCUAAUAGGCAGGAAUAUCACCACCCCUAUUCAGCCUGAAGAAGUUACAGAAGAUGGAUCUUCAUCCCUCUGCAACCCUUAGAAUUGAGGAUCUUCUUGCAAAGGGAAUGGGGAAAUAUAUCAGAGGCAUUUGAACCAGAGCAACUCCAUCUUGAGUGAGGGCUAGGAAAAUGAGGCUGGGACUUGCUGGGCUGCAUUCUCAGAAAGUUAGGCUUUCCUAGCCUCUAGAUGUUUACGGUUAAGGGAACAAAUUAAUAAUGUUUACUAAACACACCCAGACUUGGGAGUGUCCAGAUAUCCCAAUAUCUGGAGAACAAAGGCAUUCCUAAUUUUGCUUUAAAGACAAUAAUAUUGAUUCUUGCAAAAUAUAGUAAUUAAGAAAAUUAAUCCUUUAUCACAAACCCUUGUAGCAAAACACAUCUCCCCAUAUAUACAAGCAUUGUACCUAGGGUGGAUGCGUUCCAUCUCCUACUUCCAGGAAUAUCCUACUCUGUGUAUGGAGUAGCUGUACUUUUACCACUUUACUUUCUUAAUAAACUUGUUUUUACUUUGCA